UGGGGAAUAUUGGACAAUGGGCGAAAGCCUGAUCCAGCCAUGCCGCGUGUGUGAAGAAGGUCUUCGGAUUGUAAAGCACUUUAAGUUGGGAGGAAGGGCAGUAAGCGAAUACCUUGCUGUUUUGACGUUACCGACAGUAUAAGCACCGGCUAACUCUGUGCCAGCAGCCGCGGUAAUACAGAGGGUGCAAGCGUUAAUCGGAAUUACUGGGCGUAAAGCGCGCGUAGGUGGUUCGUUAAGUUGAAUGUGAAAGCCCCGGGCUCAACCUGGGAACUGCAUCCAAAACUGGCGAGCUAGAGUAGGGCAGAGGGUGGUGGAAUUUCCUGUGUAGCGGUGAAAUGCGUAGAUAUAGGAAGGAACACCAGUGGUGAAGGCGACCACCUGGGCUCAUACUGACACUGAGGUGCGAAAGCGUGGGGAGCAAACAGG
rnacentral:rRNA from 1 species